rnacentral:rRNA from 1 species
UUUUGGGGAGGUAAUUUUCUCCUAAGGCUAAAUAACGGCGAGAGACCGAUAGCGAACAAGUACCGUGAGGGAAAGAUGAAAAGAACUUUGAAAAGAGAGUUAAACAGUACGUGAAAUUGUUGAAAGGGAAACGAUUGAAGCCAGUCGUACCUUGGGGUAAUCAGCCUUUCGGGUGGGAUUCUGUGGAGUUUGAGGAGCUUAACACCUUCAUGCUUUGCAUAUUGGUGCUCUUGGGUGUACUUGCCCGUGAGGUUGGUUAACAUCAAUUUCGGGCACCAUAAAAUGGCUGGAGGAAU